CACGUAGGGGGCGAGCGUUGUCCGGAUUUACUGGGCGUAAAGAGCGCGCAGGCGGUCGUUCAAGUCGAGUGUGAAAGCCCCCGGCUCAACUGGGGAGGGUCAUUCGAUACUGAUCGACUGGAAGGCAGGAGAGGGAAGCGGAAUUCCCGGUGUAGUGGUGAAAUGCGUAGAUAUCGGGAGGAACACCAGUGGCGAAGGCGGCUUCCUGGCCUGUUCUUGACGCUGAGGCGCGAAAGCUAGGGGAGCAAACGGG
rnacentral:rRNA from 1 species